rnacentral:rRNA from 1 species
UACAGGGGGGGCAAGCGUUGUUCGGAAUUACUGGGCGUAAAGGGCGCGUAGGCGGCCUUCUAAGUCAGACGUGAAAUCCCCAGGCUUAACUUGGGAACUGCGUCUGAUACUGGGAGGCUUGAGUGCGGGAGAGGGAUGUGGAAUUCCAGGUGUAGCGGUGAAAUGCGUAGAUAUCUGGAGGAACACCGGUGGCGAAGGCGGCAUCCUGGACCGACACUGACGCUGAGGCGCGAAAGCUAGGGGAGCAAACGGG